rnacentral:rRNA from 1 species
UGGGGAAUCUUGCGCAAUGGUCGAAAGACUGACGCAGCGACGCCGCGUGUGGGAGGACGCCUUUCGGGGUGUAAACCACUGUUGCCCGGGACGAAUUGCUUCAUUCGUGGAGCGUGACGGUACCGGGUGAGGAAGCACCGGCUAACUCCGUGCCAGCAGCCGCGGUAAUACGGAGGGUGCGAGCGUUGUCCGGAAUCAUUGGGCGUAAAGGGCGCGUAGGUGGCCCGGUCAGUCCGUGGUGAAAGCGCGGGGCUCAACCCUGCGUCGGCCAUGGAUACUGCCGCGGCUCGAGCACUGUAGAGGCAGGCGGAAUUCCGGGUGUAGCGGUGGAAUGCGUAGAGAUCCGGAAGAACACCGGUGGCGAAGGCGGCCUGCUGGGCAGUAUGGCUGACACUGAGGCGCGACAGCGUGGGGAGCAAACAGGAUUAGAUACCCUGGUAGUCCACGCCGUAAACGAUGGGCACUAGGCGCUUGGGGGAGCGACCCCCCGAGGGCCGGCGCUAACGCAUUAAGUGCCCCGCCUGGGGAGUACGGCCGCAAGGCUGA